AUUGAACGCUGGCGGCAGGCCUAACACAUGCAAGUCGAGCGGAUGAAGGGAGCUUGCUCCUGGCUUCAGCGGCGGACGGGUGAGUAAUGCCUAGGAAUCUGCCUGGUAGUGGGGGAUAACGUCCGGAAACGGGCGCUAAUACCGCAUACGUCCUGAGGGAGAAAGUGGGGGAUCUUCGGACCUCACGCUAUCAGAUGAGCCUAGGUCUGAUUAGCUAGUUGGUGGGGUAAAGGCCUACCAAGGCGACGAUCCGUAACUGGUCUGAGUGGCUGAUCAGUCACACUGGAACUGAGAAACGGGCCAGACUCCUACGGGAGGGAGGAGUGGGGAAUAUUGGACAAUGGGCGAAAGCCUGAUCGAGGCAUGCCGCGGGUGUGAAGAAGGUCUUCGGAUUGUAAAACACUUUAAGUUGGGAGGAAGGGCAGGAAGAUAAAACCUUGCUGUUUUGGCGUGACCAAAAGAAGAAGCACCGGCUAACUUCGUG
rnacentral:rRNA from 1 species